rnacentral:piRNA from 1 species
UGUGUCUAUGUUGUGUUCACUUCUAUUCC